rnacentral:rRNA from 1 species
AUUGAACGCUGGCGGCAUGCCUUACACAUGCAAGUCGAACGGUAACAGGUCUUCGGAUGCUGACGAGUGGCGAACGGGUGAGUAAUACAUCGGAACGUGCCUAGUAGUGGGGGAUAACUACUCGAAAGAGUGGCUAAUACCGCAUGAGAUCUACGGAUGAAAGCAGGGGAUCGCAAGACCUUGUGCUACUAGAGCGGCCGAUGGCAGAUUAGGUAGUUGGUGGGAUAAAAGCUUACCAAGCCGACGAUCUGUAGCUGGUCUGAGAGGACGAUCAGCCACCCUGGGACUGAGACACGGCCCAGACUCCUACGGGAGGCAGCAGUGGGGAAUUUUGGACAAUGGGCGCAAGCCUGAUCCAGCAAUGCCGCGUGCAGGAUGAAGGCCUUCGGGUUGUAAACUGCUUUUGUACGGAACGAAAAGCCCUGGGUUAAUACCCUGGGGUCAUGACGGUACCGUAAGAAUAAGCGCCGGCUAACUACGUGCCAGCCGCCGCCGUAAGAC